CGAUGUGAUGAUGAUGGGCAUGUGUUCAACUGCUCCGAGCAGGCUGAGUGAAACGGCCUUUCUGAACGUCU